UUUCCGUAGGUGAACCUGCGGAAGGAUCAUUAGUGAAUUUUAGGGUGCUCUCUCGCCUCUGUUUAACUCAGAGCGCGUAGAGGGGCCUGACCUCCACUUUCUACCCUGUGCACUAUCAAUGGCUCUGGAACGAUUACGAGGGCCUCUUUUGAAGCCUCUCUGUAGUUUGACCUUUGCCGUUUUCAUUUCAUAAACAUGAGUUCAAGAAUGUCAUAAAAAACAUAACAAAAAAAAACUUUCAACAACGGAUCUCUUGGCUCUCGCAUCGAUGAAGAACGCAGC
rnacentral:misc_RNA from 1 species